rnacentral:rRNA from 1 species
CCUACGGGUGGCAGCAGUGAGGAAUAUUGGUCAAUGGUCGGGAGACUGAACCAGCCAAGCCGCGUGAGGGAUGAAGGUACAGAGUAUCGUAAACCUCUUUUGUCAGGGAACAAAGGCUGGGACGUGUCCCCGGAUGAGUGUACCUGAAGAAAAAGCAUCGGCUAACUCCGUGCCAGCAGCCGCGGUAAUACGGGGGAUGCGAGCGUUAGCCGGAUUUAUUGGGUUGAAAGGGUGCGCAGGCGGUCUGUUAAGUCAGCGGUAAAAGCCCGGGGCUCAACCCCGGCCUGCCGUUGAAACUGGCAGUCUCGAGUUGGAGAGAAGUAUGCGGAAUGCGCGGUGUAGCGGUGAAAUGCAUAGAUAUCGCGCAGAACUCCGAUUGCGAAGGCAGCAUGCCGGCUCCACACUGACGCUGAGGCACAAAAGCGUGGGUAUCGAACAGGAUUAGAUACCCGAGUAGUC